rnacentral:ncRNA from 1 species
UUUCCACUUAAAGGAGACCUACUCUUCAUAAGUCAGGUUUAUAAAUGCCCAGGGCCCAUUGAACGAACGCGUGGGGAGAACAAACGAAGUACGGUCCCAAAUAACAAUCAACAGAACCAUGAAGGCGUGGUGCUUAAACAGCAGACGGUGAUCAUGAAGUCGAAUCCGCUAGGAGGUGUACAACUCCCUGCCGAAGCAACUAGCCCUAAAUGGAUGGCGCUUAAGUUGUAUACCUAUACAUACCGCUAAAGUAGAUGAUUUAUAUUACUUGUGAUAUAAAUUUUGAAACUUUAGUGAGUAGGAAGGUACAAUGGUAUGCGUAGAAGUGUUUGGCGUAAGCCUGCAUGGAGCUGCCAUUGGUACAGAUCUUGGUGGUAGUAGCAAAUAAUCGAAUGAGACCUUGGAGGACUGAAGUGGAGAAGGGUUUCGUGUGAACAGUGGUUGAUCACGAGUUAGUCGGUCCUAAGUUCAAGGCGAAAGCCGAAAAUUUUCAAGUAAAACAAAAAUGCCUAACUAUAUAAACAAAGCGAAUAUAAUACACUUGAAUAAUUUUGAACGAAAGGGAAUACGGUUCCAAUUCCGUAACCUGUUGAGUAUCCGUUUGUUAUUAAAUAUGGGCCUCGUGCUCAUCCUGGCAACAGGAACGACCAUAAAGAAGCCGUCGAGAGAUAUCGGAAGAGUUUUCUUUUCUGUUUUAUAGCCGUACUACCAUGGAAGUCUUUCGCAGAGAGAUAUGGUAGAUGGGCUAGAAGAGCAUGACAUAUACUGUUGUGUCGAUAUUUUCUCCUCGGACCUUGAAAAUUUAUGGUGGGGACACGCAAACUUCUCAACAGGCCGUACCAAUAUCCGCAGCUGGUCUCCAAGGUGAAGAGUCUCUAGUCGAUAGAAUAAUGUAGGUAAGGGAAGUCGGCAAAUUAGAUCCGUAACUUCGGGAUAAGGAUUGGCUCUGAAGAUUGAGAUAGUCGGGCUUGAUUGGGAAACAAUAACAUGGUUUAUGUGCUCGUUCUGGGUAAAUAGAGUUUCUAGCAUUUAUGUUAGUUACUUCCUUAACCCGGAUAGUUUAGUUACGUAGCCCACACUUGUGGAACUUUCUUGCUAAAAUUUGUGGGAUCCCC